AACGGUCUAUACCUGCGGUACCUGCGGAGGGAUCAUUACCGAGUUAUCAACUCCCAAACCCCUGUGAACAUACCCGAACGUUGCCUCGGCGGGACCGCCCCGGCGCCCCUAGCGGCCCGGAACCAGGCGCCCGCCGGAGGACCCAAACUCUUGCUUUAAACAGUGGCAUACUCUCUGAGUCUCACAAACAAAAAAUAAAUCAGAACUUUCAACAAUGGAUCUCUAGAUCGGAAGAGCACA
rnacentral:misc_RNA from 1 species